UACGUAGGGCGCAAGCGUUGUCCGGAAUUAUUGGGCGUAAAGAGCUCGUAGGCGGCCUGUUACGUCUGCUGUGAAAUCCCGGGGCUUAACCCGGGCGUGCAGUGGAUACGGGCAGGCUGGAGGCAGGCAGGGGAGAACGGAAUUCCCGGUGUAGGCGGUGAAAUGCGCAGAGUAUCGGGAGGAACACCGGUGGCGAAGGCGGUUCUCUGGGCCUGACUGACGCUGAGGAGCGAAAGCGUGGGGAGCGAACAGG
rnacentral:rRNA from 1 species